CCAGAAUUAAGGAGUAGAAGGAGGAAGAGAACUGGAUUUCCUUUUGGGAAAAUGUACAGUAUUUUUAAUGACUUUGAGCUUCUCUUGAAUUAAAGGUCCAUUUUAAAAAUAUCAGUAUUCUCCUGAUGAUGCUAUAUGAGUCACAGAGUAAUCCAAUCUCUGAAGAAUUCUGAAGAAACCCAAAGGGCAAUGAAGAGCAGCAUAGUGGAUAUAGAAAAUACUUAUGACUUGCUGCAUCUCUGGUGCUCCCCAUUUCAUUUGCUGAUGCCUUCGCUGCCUUAACUCAUGCUGUGAUUACUAAAACAGAAAGGAUGCUUUCCUUCCAUAAAAUCCCAGGGCCGGCUCUACAGCACCGAACUUCCUAAAACAGACCCAUCCUCAGGGCAGCCCUCUGUGCCCAUAAACCACUUAUGUAAAGUCAUCAAAAGUAUGAGUAGUCCUCAGGCCUGCUGGGCCUUGCCCCGGCUCCUUCAGUAGCUCAGCAGUCGGCCACUGGCUCAUUGGGCACAACAGCUGCAGGACUCUGCCUCUCCAGGAGUCUGUUCCUCUUCUCAGUCUGAUUCUCAGUUGCCAGGAGUCAAGAUCCUCAAAGGUGCUUCCUCCUUCAGGCCCCACCAUGGCACAUAUACCACAAGAAAGUAAGGAAUAAAGGAAAGUCACACAUACCAAAAUAUUCAUAGUAUUUUUUCGAAGCAGUAACAGCAAAAAAACUGAUUAAAAGGAAAGGCUUAUGGUGUGGAUGGUCUCUGCAAAUGAUUAAAGUAAAAAGCAAAAGAAUAUAGAAUCAGAAGCAUUUGGAGAUGUCAGAGAAGACAGCAGGUGACAAUGAAAAGAAAAACGGAUUCAAGCAAGGCUUAUUUCAAUUCCCAGUUCUGCCAAUUAUAGCUAUUUGUUGCUAUUGUUGAAUGGUGUCCUAUUCUUUGUAACAAGAAUUGGGGUUUUCUUAGUGAACAUACCGGAAUAGUUUGCCCGUUUCUAGUUCAUUUUAUAGAUGAGGAAAAUGAGGUAAGCAGGGUUAAGUGGCUCACUGGGUAAGUAAUUCGGCUAGUAAGUGACUAAGGCUGGAUUUUAACUAAUGUGAAAAUGAGUCUUCCUGAUUGCAAGCUCACUGAGCCAUAGAUAUAUUACUUCUGAGUUUUAAGUUUUGUCAUCUGUAAAACUGAGAUACUACUUAUUUCCUUACCUCUCUUCCCAGAGUUGUAAAUUAAAACACAGGUUGCAUUGGUAUAGGCAUGUGUACCACUGAUAAAAACUUCAUGGAAAAAUCACAAUAAAGGUUUUUGUGAACAAAAAACACAUGAUCCUGUAGCCAGUUUGGUGAUUGG